AUAAAUACACGAGCAUAUAUCAAUGAUAAUACAAGCCAACUUUACAGAUAUUCAACAUUCAUAAUUCUAAUGAAACUGCUGUUGGUUCUCACUUAAAUUUGCACUAACAUUUCUCGUUUUCAGAAUUAGUAGCCACCAGCCAUUGGUGGAUUCAAAUUAAAUAUCGAUACUACACUUUCUCCAAAAACAGGAACGGGUGGUCUUGGUGCUGUAGUGAGGAAUUAUUUAGGAGAGGUGGUAGCUUUUAUGGCGGUCCCUUGUAACGGUUUGUGGUCUUCAUCUACUUUGGAAACUCACCGUCUUCUUACUACUCUUCACUGAUGUUCAAUGGCUGGCCUUCCAAUUACUCAAGUGGAGACUGAUGCUAAGAUAAUUGUGGAUAAAACAUGGACUUCGAGAAUGUGUUCGACAUGUACUGUGCUCUCAAGGCUCCUGAAGCUCCUGCGAGCAAGAAGAAAGCGAGCAGGUGGCAUCAAGGGGAAAGCAGUAAAGCGCCUCCAGCCAAGAAAUCUCGUACUACAGACCCUUUAGCAGACGACCCGUCAACAAAUGCAACACCACCUCCUUCUCCCCUCGAGCAGCAAACUCCUCCUGCUCUGGUCGGGUCGACAUGUAGAGUCCAAGAACUUUACUUAGCUAAGUUAGAUAGUAGUAUUAUAGUAAUAAUAGUAUGAUCUUUAUGACUCUGGAUUUUUGGUUAAGACCGGGAUUUAUUUGGACACUCAUAGUAGUACUUGUAGAUUUUCUAAGUUUAAUCUAUAGUUUAAGAAUAUUAAUUUU